rnacentral:rRNA from 1 species
GACGAACGCUGGCGGCAUGCUUAACACAUGCAAGUCGAGCGAGACGUUCGUGUCUAGCCGUGGACGGGUGAGUAACGCGUGUGAACGUGGCCUGCUCUACGGGAUAGUACCGGGAAUCUGGGCGGGAUACCGGAAAUGGACGCUAGAGGGAAUAUUGAUUGGAAAUGGAUCGUCCCGCGUUGUUAUUGGAAGUUGGGAGGGUAAUGGCCCCCAAAGGCUACGAUCCAUAGCUGGUGUGAGAGGAUGAUCAACCACACUGAGACUGAGACACCGCGCAGACUCCUAGGGGAGGGAGCAGUGGGGAAUCUUAGACAAUGGGGGCAAGCAUGAUCUAGCCAUGCCGCGUGAGUGAUGAAGGCCUUAGGGUUGUAUAGCUCUGUCAGCUGGUAAGAUAAUGACGGUACCAUCAGAAAAAGCGCCGGCUAACUACGUG